rnacentral:lncRNA from 1 species
CAGCCUUCUCCUCUCUUUAUCUGAUUAAAAUUCUGUAAAUGAUUUGUUUUCUUUGAAGAUGCGGAGUGGUGUCAGAGACUUGAUUUUUAAUGCCCAUGGGAGGUAGCUCACACAGGAAAGAAAGAAAUCAGAUGCUAGAGGUGAGAAUUCCAGUAACCAUGAACAGAAAGAACUUGGCACAGACUUCCCUGCCUCUCAAACACAGACAACCUGGGGCAUGCCUCUCCCAUUGUUGAGCUCCUGAAGAGUCGGAGUCAUGUCUCUGCUUCCCCAAAAUGCUGAAUGUCACAUCUUUCAUAAAGUAAGAGCACUGUAAGUAGACACUAACUUUUCGGGUUAUUUUGUCUCAAGAAUAAAAACACAAGGUAGAAAGAAAACAACGUACAUGUGUUUGAGAGUCUCCCAAUGAGAAUAGUAACCAGUUCUUCUCUAUUUCUCCUAAGAAAAAGGAAAGUGGACUCAACUGUAGUCCAAAUGACAGAGAUUAUAUAAUUUCUAAAUGGCAAAUUAGAAUAUUUCUUUCCUGAAAAUCUUAGCGGUUUUGAGUAGAUAUAGCUCAGGGUGCCUGCAUAAUCCAUAAAACAUUUGAGGGACCUAAACCUACCCCCAGUCCCUGCUGAAAACAGUGGUACUAGGGAGUCAUUUUGUAUCAUGUGAUCCUAGCUUCCUUGGCCAUAGCUGAUUGGACCCAGAGCUGAUUACCUGACUCCGGGGUAACCACUCCAUCAGUUGAUUCAUGAAAAAUGGGAUUAUUUCUUUGAUAAAUUUGAACUAAGAGAAAUAUAGGUUUCCCAGCAUUUGUGCAAGGGGUGGCCAUUUUUUGUCAUUUGGAUAAGGAUAAAUUAUCAGAGAAAUCCAAUAUGCAUGGAGAAGCAAAAGAAUGGAGAAAUUGAGAGAAAAAUUUACAAAAGAGAUUUUUUUCUGGGACUCAAAGACAAAAGACAAAUAGGAAGUGCUCUCAGUCGCUGACUGGUUUCCCAGUCCUGCUCUCAAUCCUCCGAGGUUCCCUGUGUUCUUGUCUGUUGGAACCUCUGUUCCCAUCAACAACCUCAUUUUCACUCCAGCUGCCUUGAGCAGGUUUCUAUUCCUUGCAAUAAUGGCGCCCUGGGGAAAACAACUCUGAAGAUGUCUACUGAUCUCAUCAGGUGAGUGGUCCCUUUGAUGGUGCUUUGGGUUUCAUAGAUGUUUUCUCAAGUAUUUUUUCUUUUUCACAUCUUGUUAUGAAAAAUAUUAAACAUGUAUAAAAGCAUGUACAAUAGGAUAAUACCCCCCACAUGCCUGUCUUCAGGCUUUAGAGAUCCUCAACUCCCUGCUCCUGGUGGUUCAUCUCCGCAGCCACCCCGCCCCGAUUCUGCACUGUUUGGAGCAAAUCCCAGACAUGCCAUUGCAUCUGUAAAGAUUUCAGUCUAAAACACAGAGAUUCUUUUUAAGAAAACAUAAUCAAAGUCCUUUCUUGGUCCAACUAACAUUAAUUUCUUCUACGGACAAUUUUGUGUUUCUCUUUUGUGCCAGAUGCUUUGCUAAAAGGAUUUGCAUGUUAUCUCCAUCAUGCAAAGAGAGAGUACCUACUAGCUAUGGUAAUGGACAGUGACAGAAAGGUCUACUAAACAUCCAGAGUCUUCCCAGUUAAAUGUCUGAAGCCAUCCACCAUUACUAAACAGAUACACAGAAGGUGCUGAGUCCAUGGCUUUUGAGGAAGAUGCCCACCUGGCACAGUCCACCUUCCAGUGACUGUACUCUUCCUCUACAUGACCCUGUCUACACCAAAUACAGAACUGCACAUAUGCAA